rnacentral:rRNA from 1 species
GAUGAACGCUAGCUACAGGCUUAACACAUGCAAGUCGAGGGGCAGCACUGGGAUUGCUUGCAAUCCCUGGUGGCGACCGGCGAAUGGGUGAGUAACGCGUGAGUAACCUGCCCUUUACCGGGGGAUAACACUUAGAAAUAGGUGCUAAUACCGCAUAAGCGCACAGUGCCGCAUGGUACAGUGUGAAAAACUCCGGUGGUAAAGGAUGGACUCGCGUCUGAUUAGCCAGUUGGCAGGGUAACGGCCUACCAAAGCGACGAUCAGUAGCCGGCCUGAGAGGGUGAACGGCCACAUUGGGACUGAGACACGGCCCAAACUCC